UGAGAUUAAUAUCAAUUAAAUUUUGAUGUCCAAUGCAAAAUUUUUUUUGUAGAUAAUUAAUAGUCUAUUCCUUAUCGAUGAACUUUUUGAACUCGUGCAAACUAGCGCAAUAAGUUGAAAAGAAGUAUAAUUUAUUUCACAUACUUUAAUUUAGGUAUUGCACCAUGUGCAUCAGUUAAGAAAUUCUUCGGUGUAUAUAUAUAGGCUUUAUAAUAGAAAUCACUUAUAAUUGUGUUACAUCGUACGCGAGAGGCACAUGAUUACCACCGACAACAAAUAGGAAAAUUUUGUACCUGCCGCCGGUUUAUCAUGAGAAUUGAACAGUGAAGGACUAAAAAAAGAUCUAGUAAACAUCGCGCUUAUCCAUCGUAUGAAGAAAAUGGGUCAAGCGACAGUCGAGGCUAGAAAAUCCAGCCGACCAGUCAACUAUGUAGCUAAAUCCAGCUUGCGACAAAAAGCGCAACGAAGCGGUGCUGCAGCUGCAUCGCGUAUGCUGCGGAUCCUUUUAUCGCGUUACGCGCGCAUCGGAGGAGACUUCGACCUUUCCCGUAGUAUGCAGCCCCUACCUGUGAAGCAAGAAAGCUUCAGAAAAUAUCUAUAUAUCGGUCCUCAUGGUGGCAUUUCGCGCGGCUUAAGGGGGCGUUCCUCGUUAUACCGAAGGUUUCUUUGUCGUCAGAAGCAAUCGUGCUCGGUUUAACGAAAUAGGCUGCGCAGAUAAUAAAAAAGGGAUUAAUCGAGAGAUUAAUCAAGCCAGAGAAAAGCGGCAGAAUAGAGUUCGAAGUAAUCUUUUAUAAUUAGACCUACUGAAUGCGAUU